GAAAAAGAAGUGGUGGAGGUUGACUUCUUUCUUUGGAGCUGUGAAGAAACAUCUGAAGGGCAGCUCGAACCCAGUUCAGGGUGAAGCAGAGCUGCAGCAAGAGCAGAGUGAGGGAGUGAAGCCUCAGAACGAAUGUGAAGCCAGAUGCAGUGAUGACGACAGCGUCAGCCACAGCCAGGUGUGUGAUCAGCUCUGUGAAGGUGGAUUUGACGCUGAGGUGAGACAUUUGGAGGAUGACCCUGAAGUGUCUGUGAUACAUCUUAACAAGACUGAUGAAGACGUGGAAGGUUUAAACAUUCUUGGAUAUCCACACCGUCUUCCAGAGCAGAAGGCCCUCAACAUCCUGGCAAACAGAGGCCCGGAUAGCCAUGGAUGCGAUCUCAGCACCCCCCCAAAACCCAGCACCAACACAGAGGAACAACAUCCUCACGAGACCACUGUUGAUGCUGCUGAGGGAAACGGCCAGGAGAGUAAGGUGAAGGAGAAAGGGAAGAAGAAAAAGAAGUGGUGGAGGGUGGCCUCUUUCUUCAGAGCUCUUAUAAAACAUCGUAAGAGCAGCUCG